GCAGGGUGGCCACCCACUAAUCAGCACAAGUUAGAAUGUGGGCAACUCAGCAGUCAUUGCGCAGGCACUUUGGUGACUCUAGAUAACCUCAGGCGGAUCGCGCGUCCCCGUGACGGCGACGACGCAUUUGAAUAUCUGCCCUAUCAACUUUCGAUGGUACUUUCUGUGCCUACCAUGGUGACCAUAGAUAACGGGGAAUCAGGGUUCCAAUCUGGAGAGGGAACCUGAGAAAUGGCUACCACAUCCAAGGAAGGUAGCAGGCGCUCAAAUUACCCACUCCUGACGCGGGGAGGUAGUGAC
rnacentral:rRNA from 1 species